CCCAUUGCAUAAAUUUCACCCCAUCCAAACUUCUUUACCAUGUAACCAACCUUCUUUCCAGUUUCUUCUUCCUUUCAUUACCAAGAAUUCAAUUUUGACACUCAUGGACGCAUUAUUACUUCAGUAGCAGAAAGCCUGAAACUUUGUUACAUCAAUAGUCAAAAUUUCACUUAAUAUGAGUUGUCUUCGUUGAAACUAACUAAUGGUAACAUAAAACUCAUUAGCAAUCAAAAUUUACCAAGUCAUGGACGCAUUAUUACUACAGUUUUUACCAAUGUUCACGCAAUCAAAUGAACCCAGCAUUAAAAUAUUCUCAAAGGAGAAGAAAAACUCAAAAUUCCCAAAAAUUAGGUCAAAGACGUAGAAAAAUACGCUAACCUUUAAAUCUCCAAAUUGAAGCAAUUGAAGUGCAAAUUUGAGAGAAAUUGAAGUACAAAUUUGGUCUGAAUAUUUCUUGCCCCGGUAAAUCGAUUUUUGAAGUGGCACCAGUAAAUCCCACAAAGCUCACUACCAAAUAGUAGAAAUUGUAGCGAUUGCAGCGAAGAGAACCUGAAUUCCCAUAUCGAUUGAUUAUCGUUGUAAAGGUUGCAGUGAAGAGAAGUCAAUUCCCCUAAUCGAUUGAUUGUCGUUGUAGCGAUUGUAGCGAAGACAAGCCAAUUCCCUAAUCGAUUGAUUGUUGUUGUAGCGAUUGUAGCAAAGAGAAGCUGAUUCUCAAAUCUAUUGAUUGUCAUAGUAAUCGAUUGAUUCCCUAAUCGAUUAGUUCCCUAAUCGUAGUUAAAUAUUUUUUUAAAGGUUCAGUAAGCUGAGAGCUAAUAGAGAAACUAAGAGAGAACGGGAAGUAAAAUCUAAGAGGGAAGAGACAAAAGUUG
rnacentral:lncRNA from 1 species